GAACGCACCUUGCGCUCCCUGGCAUUCCGGGGAGCAUGUCUGUUUGAGUGUCAUGAACUCUUCAACCCACCAGUUUCUUGUAGACUGAUUGGUGUUUGGAUUUUGAGCGUUGCUGGAUCUUCGGAUCGUAGCUCGUUCGUAAUAUAUUAGCAACUCUAAUUCGAACUCGGAUUGACUCAGUGUAAUAGACUAUUCGCUGAGGACACGUGCUUGCAUGUGGCCGAAUGAGAUCUCAGUAGGAGCUUCCAACUACAGUAGUCAACUUUAGAUUAGACCUCAGAUCAGACAGGAUUACCCGCUGAACUUAAG
rnacentral:misc_RNA from 1 species